rnacentral:rRNA from 1 species
AAAUUGAAGAGUUUGAUCAUGGCUCAGAUUGAACGCUGGCGGCAGGCCUAACACAUGCAAGUCGAACGGUAACAGGAAGAAGCUUGCUUCUUUGCUGACGAGUGGCGGACGGGUGAGUAAUGUCUGGGAAACUGCCUGAUGGAGGGGGAUAACUACUGGAAACGGUAGCUAAUACCGCAUAACGUCGCAAGACCAAAGAGGGGGACCUUCGGGCCUCUUGUCAUCGGAUGUGCCCAGAUGGGAUUAGCUAGUAGGUGGGGUAACGGCUCACCUAGGCGACGAUCCCUAGCUGGUCUGAGAGGAUGACCAGCCACACUGGAACUGAGACACGGUCCAGACUCCUACGGGAGGCAGCAGUGGGGAAUAUUGCACAAUGGGCGCAAGCCUGAUGCAGCCAUGCCGCGUGUAUGAAGAAGGCCUUCGGGUUGUAAAGUACUUUCAGCGGGGAGGAAGGGAGUAAAGUUAAUACCUUUGCUCAUUGACGUUACCCGCAGAAGAAGCACCGGCUAACUCCGUGCCAGCAGCCGCGGUAAUACGGAGGGUGCAAGCGUUAAUCGGAAUUACUGGGCGUAAAGCGCACGCAGGCGGUUUGUUAAGUCAGAUGUGAAAUCCCCGGGCUCAACCUGGGAACUGCAUCUGAUACUGGCAAGCUUGAGUCUCGUAGAGGGGGGUAGAAUUCCAGGUGUAGCGGUGAAAUGCGUAGAGAUCUGGAGGAAUACCGGUGGCGAAGGCGGCCCCCUGGACGAAGACUGACGCUCAGGUGCGAAAGCGUGGGGAGCAAACAGGAUUAGAUACCCUGGUAGUCCACGCCGUAAACGAUGUCGACUUGGAGGUUGUGCCCUUGAGGCGUGGCUUCCGGAGCUAACGCGUUAAGUCGACCGCCUGGGGAGUACGGCCGCAAGGUUAAAACUCAAAUGAAUUGACGGGGGCCCGCACAAGCGGUGGAGCAUGUGGUUUAAUUCGAUGCAACGCGAAGAACCUUACCUGGUCUUGACAUCCACAGAACUUUCCAGAGAUGGAUUGGUGCCUUCGGGAACUGUGAGACAGGUGCUGCAUGGCUGUCGUCAGCUCGUGUUGUGAAAUGUUGGGUUAAGUCCCGCAACGAGCGCAACCCUUAUCCUUUGUUGCCAGCGGUCCGGCCGGGAACUCAAAGGAGACUGCCAGUGAUAAACUGGAGGAAGGUGGGGAUGACGUCAAGUCAUCAUGGCCCUUACGACCAGGGCUACACACGUGCUACAAUGGCGCAUACAAAGAGAAGCGACCUCGCGAGAGCAAGCGGACCUCAUAAAGUGCGUCGUAGUCCGGAUUGGAGUCUGCAACUCGACUCCAUGAAGUCGGAAUCGCUAGUAAUCGUGGAUCAGAAUGCCACGGUGAAUACGUUCCCGGGCCUUGUACACACCGCCCGUCACACCAUGGGAGUGAGUUGCAAAAGAAGUAGGUAGCUUAACCUUCGGGAGGGCGCUUACCACUUUGUGAUUCAUGACUGGGGUGAAGUCGUAACAAGGUAACCGUAGGGGAACCUGCGGUUGGAUCACCUCCUUACCUUAAAGAAGC